rnacentral:rRNA from 1 species
CCUACGGGGGGCAGCAGUGGGGAAUAUUGCACAAUGGGCGCAAGCCUGAUGCAGCCAUGCCGCGUGUGUGAAGAAGGCCUUCGGGUUGUAAAGCACUUUCAGCGGGGAGGAAGGCGUUAAGGUUAAUAACCUUGUCGAUUGACGUUACCCGCAGAAGAAGCACCGGCUAACUCCGUGCCAGCAGCCGCGGUAAUACGGAGGGUGCAAGCGUUAAUCGGAGUUACUGGGCGUAAAGCGCACGCAGGCGGUCUGUCAAGUCGGAUGUGAAAUCCCCGGGCUCAACCUGGGAGCUGCAUUCGAAACUGGCAGGCUAGAGUCUUGUAGAGGGGGGUAGAAUUCCAGGUGUAGCGGUGAAAUGCGUAGAGAUCUGGAGGAAUACCGGUGGCGAAGGCGGCCCCCUGGACAAAGACUGACGCUCAGGUGCGAAAGCGUGGGGAGCAAACAGGAUUAGAUACCCGGGUAGUC